CGACACAAGACAGCACGAGAUGACAGAUGCGUGCCGGUGUGCACAGACCAGUCGUCAGCAGAGGGAUGGAAAGCAGAUCUCAGGCCACAAUGCCCACUUCAUGAAGGAGAUGGUUGGUGAGCAGAGUGCAUUAAGGAAGCUCUGGGAAAAGCGAUGCCUUCAUGGGCAUCUGUACUCUCGUGCAUGGUGUGCUUCAAAGAUGUACUUCAUGAAAUUUUGCCGCGAUUCCUAUAUGGAGAGAUAGGAUUGGAGCUUCUGGCACAGAAAAAAAAAUGUAUGAAAGAGAUAAAGAGGUCCCUUUGCUCCGGGUAGUCGAUGGAUUCCGUGACCAGACCAGAAUGCGGGAAUCUAGUCCAGGUGGCGCUUCUCGUGUGCUCUCGUUUCGGCGCGUGCCGGAGCCAGCGCUGGCUAACGGGCCCG